rnacentral:rRNA from 1 species
GGGAUAACUCCGGGAAACCGGGGCUAAUACCGGAUGCUUGAUUGAACCGCAUGGUUCAAUCAUAAAAGGUGGCUUUUAGCUACCACUUACAGAUGGACCCGCGGCGCAUUAGCUAGUUGGUGAGGUAACGGCUCACCAAGGCGACGAUGCGUAGCCGACCUGAGAGGGUGAUCGGCCACACUGGGACUGAGACACGGCCCAGACUCCUACGGGAGGCAGCAGUAGGGAAUCUUCCGCAAUGGACGAAAGUCUGACGGAGCAACGCCGCGUGAGUGAUGAAGGUUUUCGGAUCGUAAAACUCUGUUGUUAGGGAAGAACAAGUACCGUUCGAAUAGGGCGGUACCUUGACGGUACCUAACCAGAAAGCCACGGCUAACUACGUGCCAGCAGCCGCGGUAAUACGUAGGUGGCAAGCGUUGUCCGGAAUUAUUGGGCGUAAAGCGCGCGCAGGCGGUUUCUUAAGUCUGAUGUGAAAGCCCCCGGCUCAACCGGGGAGGGUCAUUGGAAACUGGGGAACUUGAGUGCAGAAGAGGAGAGUGGAAUUCCACGUGUAGCGGUGAAAUGCGUAGAGAUGUGGAGGAACACCAGUGGCGAAGGCGACUCUCUGGUCUGUAACUGACGCUGAGGCGCGAAAGCGUGGGGAGCGAACAGGAUUAGAUACCCUGGUAGUCCACGCCGUAAACGAUGAGUGCUAAGUGUUAGAGGGUUUCCGCCCUUUAGUGCUGCAGCAAACGCAUUAAGCACUCCGCCUGGGGAGUACGGUCGCAAGACUGAAACUCAAAGGAAUUGACGGGGGCCCGCACAAGCGGUGGAGCAUGUGGUUUAAUUCGAAGCAACGCGAAGAACCUUACCAGGUCUUGACAUCCUCUGACAACCCUAGAGAUAGGGCUUCCCCUUCGGGGGCAGAGUGACAGGUGGUGCAUGGUUGUCGUCAGCUCGUGUCGUGAGAUGUUGGGUUAAGUCCCGCAACGAGCGCAACCCUUGAUCUUAGUUGCCAGCAUUCAGUUGGGCACUCUAAGGUGACUGCCGGUGACAAACCGGAGGAAGGUGGGGAUGACGUCAAAUCAUCAUGCCCCUUAUGACCUGGGCUACACACGUGCUACAAUGGGCAGAACAAAGGGCAGCGAAGCCGCGAGGCUAAGCCAAUCCCACAAAUCUGUUCUCAGUUCGGAUCGCAGUCUGCAACUCGACUGCGUGAAGCUGGAAUCGCUAGUA